rnacentral:rRNA from 1 species
UACGAAGGGGGCUAGCGUUGUUCGGAAUCACUGGGCGUAAAGCGCACGUAGGCGGAUCUUUAAGUCAGAGGUGAAAUCCCAAGGCUCAACCUUGGAACUGCCUUUGAUACUGGGGAUCUUGGAGUCCGGGAGAGGUGAGUGGAACUGCGAGUGUAGAGGUGAAAUUCGUAGAUAUUCGCAAGAACACCAGUGGCGAAGGCGGACUCACUGGCCCGGUACUGGACGCUGAGGCGCGAAGGCGGUGGGGGAGCGAACGGGG